UGAGUGAUGAAGGUCUUAGGAUUGUAAAGCUCUUUCACCGGUGAAGAUAAUGACUGUAGCCGGAGAAGAAGCCCCGGCUAACUUCGUGCCAGCAGCCGCGGUAAUACGAAGGGGGCUAGCGUUGCUCGGAAUUACUGGGCGUAAAGGGAGCGUAGGCGGACAUUUAAGUCAGGGGUGAAAUCCCGAGGCUCAACCUCGGAACUGCCUUUGAUACUGGGUGUCUUGAGUGUGAGAGAGGUGAGUGGAACUCCGAGUGUAGAGGUGAAAUUCGUAGAUAUUCGGAAGAACACCAGUGGCGAAGGCGACUCACUGGCUCAUUACUGACGCUGAGGCUCGAAAGCGUGGGGAGCAAACAGGAUUAGAUACCCUGGUAGUCCACGCCGUAAACGA
rnacentral:rRNA from 1 species